AUUGAACGCUGGCGGCAGGCCUAACACAUGCAAGUCGAGCGGAUGAAGGGAGCUUGCUCCUGGAUUCAGCGGCGGACGGGUGAGUAAUGCCUAGGAAUCUGCCUGGUAGUGGGGGAUAACGUCCGGAAACGGGCGCUAAUACCGCAUACGUCCUGAGGGAGAAAGUGGGGGAUCUUCGGACCUCACGCUAUCAGAUAAGCCUAGGUCGGAUUAGCUAGUUUGAGGGGUAAAUGCCUACCAAGGCGACGAUCCGUAACUGGUAUGAGAGGAAGAUCAGUCAGCUUGGAAGUGAGGCACGGUCCAGACUCCUACACGAGGACACAGUGGAGAAUAUUGGGCGAGGGAGGAAAGCCUGAUACAGCCAUACCGGCGGUGGGAUGAAGCUCUUCGGCUUCUAGAGCACUUUAAGUUGGGAGGAAGGACAGUAAUUUUAUACCUUACUGUUUUGACGUUACCAACAGAAUAAGCACCGGCUAACUUCGUG
rnacentral:rRNA from 1 species